rnacentral:rRNA from 1 species
CACGGACCGCACGAACGUUUAUUCGGUAUCACUGGGCUUAAAGGGUGCGUAGGCGGCGCGGUAAGUCGGGGUGUGAAAUCUCGGAGCUUAACUCCGAAACUGCAUUCGAUACUGCCGUGCUUGAGGACUGGAGAGGAGACUGGAAUUUACGGUGUAGCGGUGAAAUGCGUAGAUAUCGUAAGGAAGACCAGUGGCGAAGGCGGGUCUCUGGACAGUUCCUGACGCUGAGGGCACGAAAGGCCAGGGGGAGCAAAACGGGG